rnacentral:rRNA from 1 species
AUUGAACGCUGGCGGCAGGCCUAACACAUGCAAGUCGAGCGGAUGAAGGGAGCUUGCUCCUGGAUUCAGCGGCGGACGGGUGAGUAAUGCCUAGGAAUCUGCCUGGUAGUGGGGGAUAACGUCGGAAACGGGCGCUAAUACCGCAUACGUCCUGAGGGAGAAAGUGGGGGAUCUUCGGACCUCACGCUAUCAGAUGAGCCUAGGUCGGAUUAGCUAGUUGGUGGGGUAAAGGCCUACCAAGGCGACGAUCCGUAACUGGUCUGAGAGGAUGAUCAGUCACACUGGAACUGAGACACGGUCCAGACUCCUACGGGAGGCAGCAGUGGGGAAUAUUGGACAAUGGGCGAAAGCCUGAUCCAGCCAUGCCGCGUGUGUGAAGAAGGUCUUCGGAUUGUAAAGCACUUUAAGUUGGGAGGAAGGGCAGUAAGUUAAUACCUUGCUGUUUUGACGUUACCAACAGAAUAAGCACCGGCUAACUUCGUG